rnacentral:rRNA from 1 species
GCAUGUCUACAACAUAGAGUUAAUGCACUAGAUCCCAUUAAAACUCCGUAGUUAAGCACGCUCGGGCUAGAGUAGUACUGUCUCGUAUACAAUUGAGGUGAAGGAGACCCUUUAAGCAUGUA